AUUGAACGCUGGCGGCAGGCCUAACACAUGCAAGUCGAGCGAGCGGCGGACGGGUGAGUAAUGUAUGGGGACUGCCCGAUAGAGGGGGAUAACUACUGGAAACGGUGGCUAAUACCGCAUACUAUCGGAUAACCCAUAUGGGAUUGGCUAGUAGGUGGGGUAAAGGCUCACCUAGGCGACGAUCUCUCGCUGGUCUGAGAGGAUGAUCAGCCAAACUGGGACGGAGACACGGCCCAGACUCCUACGGAGGCAGCAGUGGGGAAUAUUGCACAAUGGGCGAAAGCCUGAUGCAGCCAUGCCGCGUGUAUGAAGAAGGCCUUAGGGUUGUAAAGGACUUUCAGCGGGGAGGCGGGAGACGAAGAAGAAGCACCGGCUAACUCCGUGCCAGCCGCCGCGGUAAGAG
rnacentral:rRNA from 1 species